AUAGGCCCAUAAACGAUUCACCCUUCUUCCAUAUUUCCGUCAUUUCGAGGUCACGAGCACUGCCGUGUUUUUGGAACCGUGGAUUUAAGGCAAAUCCUCCCAAUUGUGUAACUGUCCCGGUAACGCUUCCCAUUCGUCUUCACCGACGCCGUAACGCUCCUCCUCCUAAUUCAUAUCUAAUGUUAUUCCUUGAUAGUCUGAUACGUCUGCUUCGAUUUUGGGCAUUGAUAUCCUGCUGAUUAAUGGGAAGUCAACGCUAAUCCAAGCCUAUCAACGUUUGCCACUUGAACACCUUUAGGGAAAUCUUGAAAGAGAGAUCAUGAGCAAGAGUUUUUGAUGUUACACCAAGCAACACGAACAUCAGGUCUGUUGACGCCCCUGUUGCUAUUAGUUUUACGGACCAAACCAUGUUCGUUGAGAUUGCUGCGACGGUGGAACAGAAUCCGAGAGAGAGCUUCUGGUGGUUCUGCAACUUUGACACAAUCUGAUUUGGCUAACACAAACACCGACUUGCCAGAUAACGUUGGGGAACUUAUGGGUAUACAAACCAUUUUCAACGAAAAGAGUCAAAGCACUCAACGCAUAAUGGCAAGUUGGCAACGAUAAGAAUUGAAGGAGAUCAAUAAAGCUAGAAACAAGCUAUAGGAGCAUCAACUGCACACAAGGCAUAGGCAGAAAAAAAGAUAUCUGAAACGAAAAGAUUUUCACUAAAGUUUAAAUUAUCAACGUUCUCUAGGGUCUAUGGUUUCUUCUUUGAUAUGUUACAGAAGACAGUUACGAAGGAAUGGGGUUCUCCUUAUUUCUCUGGAGAGAAACCCUUUUUUGAUGUAUGAUUUCUCUUCAAGAGUUGAGAACUUUAGUUGUUGUGAACAAUCAGAAAGUUUCUUUACUAAAGAAGGUUUUGUGGUUUGAGAUCAGAAGCAAGGUUGAUCGUUAAUGUGAAACUGGUUUAUUGCUGUAAAUUGGAUGAAAGCUAUUUCUGUGUGUUUUAUUUUGUCUCA